GAAUGAAUGAGGCUCCUAUGGGCUGUGCAUAUCCUUUCUCCUUCCCCUGUAACUUUUGAUGAAGAUGGAGUGGAGUUCAGAAAGGUUUUAACUUGUUAACUAUAUAAGCAACGAGGGCCCCAAGGGAAGCAGACAUAUUAGCACUGUUCGUUACAGAUGACAGGUGAGGUCACAGAUCUGCCCCCUGUUAUACUCUCCAGGUCCAUGUGGAGGAGUACUGAUGUGUCCCACGUGUAGAAACUUUGGUCAGAGCAUUCUUGACACGGAUUAUCCAAUUGUAAGAUCUGAUUUCUGCCUGCAGAGUGGUUUGAAUGAUUCAAGCAAACACUGCAGUUAUUCUUCUGCCAGCAAUCUUCUAUGGAAGUUACAGACCAGUCGGACAGAAGGUGGUUCACCAAUAUCAAUGUGCAUUUUUGUAAUCUUUUCUUUUAGGUGGAAAAACUGGCAAAGUACUUGGACCCAAAUGAUUUGGGAAGAAUCAAUUUUAAGGACUUCUGCCACGGAGUUUUUGCUAUCAAAGGCUGUGAAGAGUUACUGAAUGAUGUUCUGUCGCCUGAAAACUCCGAGCCUCAGCACUAUGAGCUGCAGUAUGAUGAUUACUAUUACCAGGUAAGAGGAGCAUUAACUUUGUCUCAUUGCGCUGAGAAAGUCUCAGGAGUGCUGUGUAGCUGGGUCUUUACAAAUGCUGUUGUUGUUUAUGGUCUGCAGAAGGUCUCUGAGGAGACCUGUGAAGUUUGACUGGUUUAAUUAGAUUCAAUUGGUGUUUUUCACUUGUGUGGUGCCAGCAAGCUUCUACACGAUGACUCCCUUCACAGCCGAGCAAAUAGUGAGGCUUGUAACAGCAAUGCUAAUCAAAUCCUAAAUUCUCUUAAGCCAGCUGGCAGUUACCCUGUGUGAAAUACAGCUGAAGUCGGUAGGGAAGACCUGUUAAUAGUCGUGAAUCUAGGAAAAAGCCAACAGGCCAAGAGCUGCCCAGCCACUGAGCUGAGAAGCUCAGCAUGGGAAGCACCAAUCACCAUUGCAGCUCUGACGCAUCUGGCUGCGAAAUCAGACUACAAAAAAGAGUUUUGCAUUGACUAAGGUGUGGAGAAGAGAUCCUCCCAUUACACACAUACUUUGUGCGAUGAAAAUUUUAGUGAGUCGGUGUGGAAGAGAUUGGGAACUGAGGCCAAACAACAAGCCUGAAAUCCAAAUGUAUCAUGCUGGUGCUUUGGUUGGAGGUGUUAACAGUUGGACUAUGGGCAAUGCCAUAGCUGUGCAUGCCUUCCCACAGCAUGCAUAGGAGAAAUCCUCAUUUCUACCAAGAUCCUGAUUUCUCAUUUUCCUUGUACUCCUUUGUGAAUAGCUGGGUUCAACACUUAAACUUAAUUGAUGGAGCGUGUGGUGGGAGGUGUAAGUGCCAUGGACCUUGUCCUUGGUCCAUCUUAUCUGCACUGCUUCAUAGCAAUACACAAAACAGUUUCCUCUUUUUGGGCUGAAGGUAGAGAAAUUGCCUCACCUCAGGGCAGAGAAUGUCUGUCACAGGACUGAAGGACACCUCUGUGACUGCAAACAAAAGGGCAGAAUUCGGCCAUAAACUUUUUUCAUGGACAUGCCUGAGUUUGCUGUCUCUUUUUCACUCGAUGAAGAUGACAGGCUGGCUUUAGAACCUGGGUGGUAGAAGGCUGACAACACUAUCUCUGCUUGUUUCUGAAACAGUAUUGUUUUGUGACUGGUGACAUAGAUACCCGCAAUGCUGUUGCUUGGUAACCUUAAUAGAUGCCAUAAACCAAAUUCCCUGUUUUGCAAGAGAUGAUAGAGGCUAUAAAAUGCAAAGCAGUCUCUCUGCAAACACUAGAUGUUUUCCUAUUGCUGUGCAGAUGUUGCUGGCUCAUUAGAGGGCAGGUGGCAUGGCUGUUGGGUCUCUAUUCCUCUGGGAGUUGCUAUUAACCAAGGACGCACUGCAGAGAAGGUGCUUGAAGAUGAGCUAAGAGACGUGGCUGCAAAGCUUCCCAGCAGCCAGAAGAGGUGGGAGCUGUGUUUGCUGCUAAUGCUGAGAGCAGCUGUUGGCAUUCCCUUUUGCAUUCUAGAUUUGUGCCUCUGGGAGAGGAACAGUUAGCUGUCUGCCCACUUUGGGUCCAUGCAGUGUUUGCGUGGCCUCUGAGAAGUGGUGGUAAGAGGACAGGAAAUGAUGCACGAUGUAUGCUCCACAAUUAUCUCACAGCUCCUCUGCACAGCUCUGCCUUCCAGGAGGAGCAUCUCGGUUACCUGCAGUUUCCAGGUAUUUCAGGUGCAAUUCAGAAACUGUUCACUAGAUGUCAGUUAAGGGCUGGCAGAAGCUGAGAACAGGCUGCAAUAAGGAGCCUCCCCUAUGGGGAGGGAAGAUGGACUUUUCCAUCGGAUGAAAUAGAGGAAGACUUCUGAGACCUGGGUGGAUUUGAGGUUAUCUCUGAGCUUCGUGCUGAGCUCCCAAGGAAGAACUUGCUGAGAACAUGAGCUCACUGUGUUUCCCAGACCUUACUGAGUGUGAAUUCCUGGUGGUGUAGUCGAGCUCAUGGGCAGCUCCCAGUGGCACAAACAGCAUUUGCCUGUUAAUCUGAUGAUCAUCCCCGUAUACCCUUUGCAUGUCUGUCUAAUUCUCAGGUGCAGCCAGGAGAGGGAGGCAGCAGAAGGACCAUCUGCUGUGGUGGCACAAGCAGGUACUUAAAAAGGGAAUGCAUCUCUUUUACUGCACCCAAAGGGUUGUGCUUAGACAAAGGCAGAUAGAUACUGAGCUGCUUUGUUGUGCUGUCUCUGCAUUCAUGAUGUGAUUUAGGAGUGAGAAAAGGAAGAGGAGACAUAUCCUCCUCUUACAUUAUUUCUCCUCUCCUCUGCUGUCUCUGACUUUCUCUCCCAUGGGCUUAUUGCCCGUCCUGUAGCUUUCUGAAGCCCAAAGAGAAGCAGAAACCUGACGAGGUGAAGGUAAUACCAAGAAGUGGGAUGAGGUAGAGGCAGGAGCUGCAGCAAGGUGUAUUUUGAGUCAAAUGGGGGAAGAUGAAACUGCCAAACCUCAAGCCUUUAAUUGAAACCAACUGAAUGCAAUUAAUU
ensembl:lncRNA